rnacentral:rRNA from 1 species
CCUACGGGCGGCAGCAGUGGGGAAUAUUGCACAAUGGGGGAAACCCUGAUGCAGCGACGCCGCGUGAGUGAAGAAGUAAUUCGUUAUGUAAAGCUCUAUCAGCAGGGAAGAAAAUGACGGUACCUGAAUAAGAAGCCACGGCUAACUAAGUGCCAGCAGCCGCGGUAAUAAGUAGGGGGCAAGCGUUAUCCGGAUUUACUGGGGGUAAAGGGAGCGUAGACGGCAGUGCAAGUCUGGCGGUAAAGGCGGGGGCUCAACCCCCGGACUGCUAUGGAAACUGUACGGCUGGAGUGCAGGAGUGGUAAGUGGAAUUCCUAGUGUAGCGGUGAAAUGCGUAGAUAUUAGGAGGAACACCAGUGGCGAAGGCGGCUUACUGGACUGUAACUGACGUUGAGGCUCGAAAGCGUGGGGAGCAAACAGGAUUAGAUACCCCAGUAGUC